UACGGGGGGGGCAAGCGUUGUUCGGAAUUACUGGGCGUAAAGGGCUCGUAGGUGGCCAACUAAGUCAGACGUGAAAUCCCUCGGCUUAACCGGGGAACUGCGUCUGAUACUGGAUGGCUUGAGUUUGGGAGAGGGAUGCGGAAUUCCAGGUGUAGCGGUGAAAUUCGUAGAUAUCAGGAGGAACACCGGUGGCGAAGGCGGCUUCCUGGACAAUUACUGACGCUGAGACGCGAAAGCGUGGGGAGCAAACAGG
rnacentral:rRNA from 1 species